rnacentral:tRNA from 1 species
CGGGAUAGCUCAGCUGGUAGAGCAGAGGACUGAAAACUCUCCGC